GAGGAAAAGAAACCAACAGGGAUUGCCUUAGUAGCGGCGAGUGAAGCGGCAAAAGCUCAAAUUUGAAAUCUGGCACUUUCAGUGUCCGAGUUGUAAUUUGAAGAAGGUAUCUUUGGGUCUGGCUCUUGUCUAUGUUUCUUGGAACAGAACGUCACAGAGGGUGAGAAUCCCGUGCGAUGAGAUGACCCAGACCUAUGUAAAGUUCCUUCGAAGAGUCGAGUUGUUUGGGAAUGCAGCUCUAAGUGGGUGGUAAAUUCCAUCUAAAGCUAAAUAUUGGCGAGAGACCGAUAGCGAACAAGUACAGUGAUGGAAAGAUGAAAAGAACUUUGAAAAGAGAGUGAAAAAGUACGUGAAAUUGUUGAAAGGGAAGGGCUUGAGAUCAGACUUGGUAUUUUGUAUGUUACUCUUUCGGGGGUGGCCUCUACAGUUUACCGGGCCAGCAUCAGUUUGGGCGGUAGGAGAAUUGCAAAGAAAUGUGGCACUGCUUCGGUAGUGUGUUAUAGUCUUUGUCGAUACUGCCAGCCUAGACUGAGGACUGCGGCUUCGGCCUAGGAUGUUGGCAUAAUGAUCUUAAGUCGCCCGUCUUGA
rnacentral:rRNA from 1 species